rnacentral:misc_RNA from 1 species
UUUCCGUAGGUGAACCUGCGGAAGGAUCAUUAAUGAGUUGUCAUGGGGUUCGAUGCUGGCAGCCAAUUUUUGGAUGCGUGUGCUUGCCCUAACAAUCAUCUUCCAAACACCUGUGCACAUUUUUGAGGGAGUCUUGAGUUGGUUGCCGCUCUUGGGUGAUUUUCUCACAUUCCCUUAAAUCAUUAUACGCUAUUAACAAUGUUGAACGUGCUCUGUGCCGCAAGGCUAUUAAUAUAAUACAACUUUUAACAACGGAUCUCUUGGCUCU